CUCGGCUGCCCGUUUAAAAUCCAAGUGGAGAGCUGGAGGAGACUUGUCGCAGCCCAAGUACUGUUCCAAUUCAAAGUCCGCAUCCAGCCAAGUAUAGUCCAAAUGCCUGCAUGUGAACUUGCUCUGCCCGUUCCAUCGGGGAUGCAUCGGGAGGUGACUUUGUGGACUUUUGACAGCCAGGUAUUUCUCACAGACCGGCAGCAAUGGCAGUGAGGCAAGUAGACAUGGUCAAGACGACCUGCUGGAGUUCAAACGGAGCAUCAGAAUGAGAAAGAAAGGGUUUACAGAGGAUGGUCCCAAAAAGAGAAAAUAUCCAGUGAUGAAAAUGCCUUGUUGAUGCCAGAGGUCAGAGGAGAAUGGCCAGACUGGUUCAAGAUGAUAGAAAGGCAACAGUAACUCAAAUAACCGCUGGUUCCAACCAAGGUCUGCAGAAGACCAUCUCUGAACCAACAACACGUCCAACCUUGAAGCAGAUGGGCUACAGCAGCAGAAGACCACACCAGGUGCCACUCCUGUCAGCUAACAACAGGAAACUGAGGCUACAGUUCACACAGGCUCACCAAAACUGGAUAAUAGAAGAUUGGAAAAACGUUGCCUGGUCUGAUGAGUCUGGAUUUCUGCUGCCACAUUCAGAUGGUAGGGUCAGAAUUUGGUGUAAACAACAUGAAAGCAUGGAUCCAUCCUGCCUUGUAUCAACGGUUCAGGCUGGUGGUGGUGGUGUAAUGGUGUGGGGGGUAUUUUCUUGGCACACUUUGGGCCCCUCAGUACCAACUGAGCAUUUUUUUUUUCUUUUUUGAAUAUUUUCAGUUUUAUGUAAUUACACAAAGAACAUAUCAACAUAACACAA